ensembl:snRNA U6 U6 spliceosomal RNA
GUGCUUGCUUAGGUAGCACAUAUACUAAAAUAGGAACAAUACAGAGAUUAUCAUGGCUUCUGUACAAGAAUGAUACACAGAUUUUCGAAGUGUACCGUGCAUAA